rnacentral:rRNA from 1 species
UGCUAGUUGCACGAGUUUAGACUCGUUGCGGAAAGCUCAGUAACACGUGGACAAACUACCCUACGGAGAACGAUAACCUCGGGAAACUGAGGCUAAUAGUUCAUAGGGGAGUCGCGCUGGAAAUGCCGACUCCCCCAAACGCUCCGGCGCCGUAGGAUGUGUCUGCGGCCGAUUAGGUAGACGGUGGGGUAACGGCCCACCGUGCCGAUAAUCGGUACGGGUUGUGAGAGCAAGAGCCCGGAGACGGAAUCUGAGACAAGAUUCCGGGCCCUACGGGGCGCAGCAGGCGCGAAACCUUUACACUGCACGCAAGUGCGAUAAGGGGACCCCAAGUGCGAGGGCAUAUAGUCCUCGCUUUUCUCGACUGUAAGGCGGUCGUGGAAUAAGAGCUGGGCAAGACCGGUGCCAGCCGCCGCGGUAAUACCGGCAGCUCAAGUGAUGACCGAUAUUAUUGGGCCUAAAGCGUCCGUAGCCGGCCAUGAAGGUUCAUCGGGAAAUCCGCCAGCUCAACUGGCGGGCGUCCGGUGAAAACCACAUGGCUUGGGACCGGAAGGCUCGAGGGGUACGUCCGGGGUAGGAGUGAAAUCCCGUAAUCCUGGACGGACCACCGAUGGCGAAAGCACCUCGAGAAGACGGAUCCGACGGUGAGGGACGAAAGCUAGGGUCUCGAACCGGAUUAGAUACCCGGGUAGUCCUAGCUGUAAACGAUGCUCGCUAGGUGUGACACAGGCUACGAGCCUGUGUUGUGCCGUA